GAUGAAAUGAGAGAACUCAUUUUCACUCAAAGCGAUUAUGAUAGAACGGAAGAAGCCUCACCACCUCCAGGGACGUAACAAGACCGAGGAGCGCACAAAUUUUUUUAAGAAGAAGCUCCAGCAGAUGGAGGAGAGGAAAAUUAUCCACAACCAUCGAGUCCCAAAGCUGGCGGGGAACACGGAGCAGAGGUUGAAGGCGAAGUAGAAGCCUCCAGCCUGGUUGAACCGAUGCAGGAAUCUGUUGAUGCAUUAACCGUCAGGAGCAGACAGAACGGGAUAAGAGCAAAUUUUCGCCACAGGAGACUGAGGCUAGUUAGAGAGGCGGCUCAACGAAGGACGUCUGGAACGUGGAACCUUCAAGAAGACGGAGAUCUUCAACGGAUGGGCCUGGAAAUCUUCCACUGGAUCAUUCGAAAUUGUGAAUUACUUCUAAAGAAGUUGUAAGAUGAUGUUUUCUGCUGUUGGGUUUGUUGUUUUUCUGUUGUUUUUUUUUUUUGUUUGUUUGUUUGUUUC